CGUCGCUGGAGGACAUGGGCUUCCUGAAGGAGGAGACCGGGGACCUCCUCCGGGCCACGGACCCCCGGCCCUGCUGCUCCUGCAGGACCCUAGCUGUGCUCUCAUACCCCGGGUGGAGCCAGACCUACCUGCUGCUCCCCCAGCUGAGUGUAGGACUGGGCCCCGUGGGAGAAGAACCGGAUGCAGGUCAUGGCGGCCCGCACGUGAUCCUAGGGCACAGCUCUCUGACCCCUCCACACCCAGG